GAUGAACGCUGGCGGCGUGCCUAAUACAUGCAAGUCGAGCGAACAGACGAGGAGCUUGCUCCUUUGACGUUAGCGGCGGACGGGUGAGUAACACGUAGGUAACCUACCUAUAAGACUGGGAUAACUUCGGGAAACCGGAGCUAAUACCGGAUAAUAUUUCGAACCGCAUGGUUCGAUAGUGAAAGAUGGCUUUGCUAUCACUUAUAGAUGGACCUGCGCCGUAUUAGCUAGUUGGUAAGGUAACGGCUUACCAAGGCAACGAUACGUAGCCGACCUGAGAGGGGGUCGGGCCAAACUGAAACUGGAACCCGGCCCAAACCCCAAGGGGGGGAGCAGGAGGGAAUCUUUCGCAAUUGGGGAAAGCCCUGAGGGGCAACCCCGCGUGAGGGAAGAAAGGUUUUGGGUUGGAAAACCCUUUUUUUAGGGAAAAAAAAAAGGGUAAGGAAAUAUGCACGGUUUUACGGGUACCAAUCCGAAAGGCACCGCCUACCUCGGG
rnacentral:rRNA from 1 species